rnacentral:lncRNA from 1 species
GGGUGGCAGAGGGGGCUCUUCCCGAUCCCUCCGAUGUCCCUCGCUCUCCCCGGCGUCCUGCGGUGACGGGUCGCUCCCAUCGACCGUGGCUGGACACCAGGUGACAUCAGGGGACAAGGUCCAGGCCGGGGAGAGGGCGGUGGCACCGGGACGUCCUGAGCCGGGCAGCCCUGACCCCCACGCUGCGCCAUGAGGCUGUGGCUCCUCUGUGGCUUCGUUGCCACCGUGGCCCUCGUGGCCGUGGCCGGAGCCGACCACGGCAACUCCAAGAAGGUGGCGCGGGGAAGAGAGGGGACGCGCGUCGGGGGCCAUCGGCGGCACAGACCCUGUUCGGGGUGUUUCUCCGUCCUGAGCGAGGAGUCACGGUCCAUGUCCUGGCACACUGGAGAAGACGAUGAGGUUCAGCCAGGCAAGAGGGAGGGAGCCGGGCGGGAGGACAAGGAUCCGGCACGGCCCCUGAGACCCCCCCGCAGCCUCCUGCUGCCGCCACAGGAGGCGCUGAGCAUCCGCACGGUGUGGAGAGGAGGGAACCGGGGGUCCGGUCGCCCCCGGGACGUGCCAUGGGGUCCUCCUGCCCCCUCCCAGCUCUGAGGCUGUGCCCCCACACCCAGGGCACAAAUGAACCUGUGCCCAUGCAAGCUCAGCCCCGCUGCCCCCCUCCUGCACCCCCAAAGUGCUUUUUUGGGGGGCAAUUCCCCCUCUUCCCGCUUUGCCAAGCCACCAAAUAAAGCCGAUGAACCAGAGGGAGUUGGGUGUGUU